rnacentral:rRNA from 1 species
CAGUCGCCGCGGUAAUACGGAGGGAGCUAGCGUUGUUCGGAAUUACUGGGCGUAAAGCGCACGUAGGCGGCUUUGUAAGUUAGAGGUGAAAGCCUGGAGCUCAACUCCAGAAUUGCCUUUAAGACUGCAUCGCUUGAAUCCGAGAGAGGUGAGUGGAAUUCCGAGUGUAGAGGUGAAAUUCGUAGAUAUUCGGAAGAACACCAGUGGCGAAGGCGGCUCACUGGCUCAGUAUUGACGCUGAGGUGCGAAAGCGUGGGGAGCAAACAGGAUUAGAUACCCCAGUAGUCCCUGUCUCUUAUAC